rnacentral:rRNA from 1 species
CCUUUGUACACACCGCCCGUCGCUACUACCGAUUGAAUGGCUUGGUGAGAUUUCCGGAUUGGCGUUGAGGAGCCGGCAACGGCACCUCUUGGCUGAGAAGUUACUCAAACCUGGUCAUUUAGAGG